UAGCGGCGGAUGGGUGAGUAACGCGUGGGCAACCUGCCUCGAAGACCGGGAUAACAGUUCGAAAGGGCUGCUAAUACCGGAUGUGGUCAAGUGUCAGCAUGGGCAUUUGAUUAAAGGGGAAACCCGUUUCGAGAUGGGCCCGCGUCCUAUCAGCUAGUUGGUGAGGUAAAGGCUCACCAAGGCAAUGACGGGUAGCCGGCCUGAGAGGGUGACCGGCCACACUGGAACUGAGACACGAUCCAGACUCCUACGGGGGGCAGCAGUGGGGGAUAUUGCGCAAUGGGGGGAACCCUGACGCAGCGACGCCGCGUGAGCGAAGAAGGCCUUCGGGUCGUAAAGCUCUGUCUUUGGGGAAGAAUAAGAUGACGGUACCCAAGGAGGAAGCCCCGGCUAACUACGUGCCAGCAGCCGCGGUAACACGUAGGGGGCGAGCGUUGUCCGGAAUUACUGGGCGUAAAGGGUGCGUAGGCGGCCUUAUAAGUCAUGUGUGAAAAACCCGGGCUCAACCCGGGUAUUGCAAGUGAAACUAUAGGGCUUGAGUGCAGGAGAGGGAAGUGGAAUUCCUAGUGUAGCGGUGAAAUGCGUAGAGAUUAGGAGGAACACCAGUGGCGAAGGCGGCUUCCUGGACUGCAACUGACGCUGAGGCACGAAAGCGUGGGGAGCAAACAGGAUUAGAUACCCUGGUAGUCCACGCCGUAAACGCUGGAUACUAGGUGUAGGUACCGAUGAGGUAUCUGUGCCGUAGUUAACGCAAUAAGUAUCCCACCUGGGGAGUACGGCCGCAAGGCUGAAACUCAAAGGAAUUGACGGGGGCCCGCACAAGCAGUGGAGUAUGUGGUUUAAUUCGAAGCAACGCGAAGAACCUUACCAGGGCUUGACAUCCCUUGACAGUCCUAGAGAUAGGAUAUCCCUUCGGGGCAAGGAGACAGGUGGUGCAUGGUUGUCGUCAGCUCGUGUCGUGAGAUGUUGGGUUAAGUCCCGCAACGAGCGCAACCCCUGUUGUUAGUUGCCAGCAUUAAGUUGGGCACUCUAGCGAGACUGCCGGUGACAAAUCGGAGGAAGGUGGGGACGACGUCAAAUCAUCAUGCCCCUUAUGUCCUGGGCUACACACGUACUACAAUGGCUGUUACAGAGGGCAGCUAAGCCGCGAGGUGGAGCAAAUCCCUAAAAGCAGCCCCAGUUCGGAUUGCAGGCUGAAACCCGCCUGCAUGAAGUCGGAAUUGCUAGUAAUGGCAGGUCAGCAUACUGCCGUGAAUACGUUCCCGGGCCUUGUACACACCGCCCGUCACACCAUGAGAGUCGGCAACACCCGAAGUCAGUAGUUAACCGCAAGGAGAACGC
rnacentral:rRNA from 1 species